AUGCUGCUUGGCGUCUCCUUACCACACUCGUCUCCUGUCUCCUCAGGCUCCCAGCCAGUAAAGAGCUCGGGAGGGAAGAGUGACCCCGACAAUAAAGGCAGGGCAAAGUUCACGGCCACCGCCGUCCAAUCGGACGACAGGAGGAAGCGGCUGCUGAGGUCCGACCCCGACGGCGCCCCUCCCGAAACCCGCCGCCGGCUCCAGGAGCUCCGCCACGCGGAGGAGAGCGUGUCGGCCUCCUCGGACAUGGCGAGCGAAAGCGAGGCGGAGGAGGAGGACGAGACGGAGUGGGACCAGGGAGACAGUGACAGGCUGAAGCAGGAGGAGAGCGCGGGAGGGGGGACGCAGAGCAGGGGGGGCGACACCCCCACCCGGGGGGAGAUGGGGGCGCGGACGCACAACGGGCGCGCCGUGAUCCAGCAGCUGAAGAGCGUUGUGACCCCGUCUCCGCUGCCUGGAAGCCCCGGCAUCAAGACUGAGCACGAGGCCCUGGGCGCUGGGGGGCGCUGGGGGUCUCACACGCAGACCCCCAGCUCGCACAGCAACCCGCCGCCGCCCUCCCACGCACACACCCCCUCCAGCAGCCUCAACGGCGACAGCCCCACCACCCCCGUCCCCGACUCCUCCUCCAGCAGCGAAGCCCCACCGAAGGGCCUGUUCACCCCCCCGUCCCCCGCUCUGUCCCCCGCCAUGUCCGUGUCCUCCCCCCUGCCGCGCGAGGACAGAGCGGUGGUCAGCAGAGGCGGCGGCGGCGGCGGCGGCGGCGGUGGCGGCGGCCCCGACUUCGAGCUGCUCCAGAGACUGGCGGCAGGCGGAGCGGCGGGGCGGGUCCUCUUCCACCCCCUCGCCCUCGGCCCGCAGGGCCCUCAGAGCCUCUACGCCCCCAGCACCAUCCGCUACGCUCCGCCGGAGCUGCCCCCCUCCCACCACCACGGCGCCGGCCACGGCGACGGCCUGCAGCUGCGCUCGGACCACCACAAGGCAGCGCCGCCGGCCUUCUUCCCCCACCUGCAGCGGCUCGCCGGCCUGCCGCCCUUCAGCGGCUUCUCCCCGUCCGACAGCCCCUUCACCUCCGGCCUGCCCUUCUGUAUGAACGGACUGAGGGGGGCCGCCGGCUCCGAGGAGGACUGA
rnacentral:lncRNA from 1 species